CAGAGACUGCAAGCGUUAUUCGGAUUCACUGGGCGUAAAGGGUGCGCAGGCGGUUGGGUGUGUCAGAUGUGAAAUCCCGAGGCUUAACCUCGGAACUGCGUCUGAAACUACUCGACUAGAGUACUGGAGAGGGAAACGGAAUUCACGGUGUAGCAGUGAAAUGCGUAGAUAUCGUGAGGAACACCAGAGGCGAAGGCGGUUUCCUGGACAGUUACUGACGCUCAGGCACGAAAGCAUGGGGAGCAAAAGGGAUUAGAUACCCCUGUAGUCCAUGCCCUAAACGGUGCACACUAGGUCUUAGCGGAUUCGACCCCACUAGGGCCCAAGCUAACGCGUUAAGUGUGCCGCCUGAGGACUACGGUCGCAAGACUA
rnacentral:rRNA from 1 species